UUAAAAGAGGCGAGGUUGUUUUUCCUCUUUGAGGUCCUGCUCAUUUUCACCUCUUCCAUUGCCUUGUUUCCACAACUCCUGUUUAUGAGAAGUUGGGAGAGGGACGCAGAGGAGGGAAGAAAAACGCAGGUUUCCUUCAUCAGAUUCUCAGAAGACUGAAAGUUUGAUAUACGUAUGAAUUUAUUGACAUCAAUUUCCUUAAGUUAUUAUUCCAACACAGAGAAGGUACUGAAGAGCUGAAGACAAUGAUAAUAAACCACAAGAUCUGGAGUUUUCAAGGCCCAAUCCCUCCAGAACAGAGAAAGAGAGACAGAGAGAAUGAAUAAGUCUUCAAAAGGAAUUGGAGACUGUUUUCAAUUAUAGCGAGAAGUAAUG